rnacentral:snRNA from 1 species
AUGCUCAAUUCAGCAGCAUAUAUACUAAAAUUGGAAGGAUACAGAGAAGAUUAGCAUGGCCCCUGCACAAGGAUGACACACAAAUUCAUGAAGCGUUCCAUAUUAAA